AGGCCAGACUCCUACGGGAGGCAGCAGUGGGGAAUAUUGCACAAUGGGGGAAACCCUGAUGCAGCGACGCCGCGUGAAGGAAGAAGUAUUUCGGUAUGUAAACUUCUAUCAGCAGGGAAGAAAGUGACGGUACCUGACUAAGAAGCCCCGGCUAACUACGUGCCAGCAGCCGCGGUAAUACGUAGGGGGCAAGCGUUAUCCGGAUUUACUGGGUGUAAAGGGAGCGUAGGCGGCGAUGCAAGUCAGAAGUGAAAGCCCGGGGCCCAACCCCGGGACUGCUCUUGGAACUGCGCGGCUGGAGUGCAGGAGGGGCAGGCGGAAUUCCUGGUGUAGCGGUGAAAUGCGUAGAUAUCAGGAGGAACACCGGUGGCGAAGGCGGCCUGCUGGACUGCGACUGACGUUGAGGCCCGAAAGCGUGGGGAGCAAACAGGAUUAGAUACCCCAGUA
rnacentral:rRNA from 1 species